UGGCCAGACUCCUACGGGAGGCAGCAGUGGGGGAUAUUGCACAAUGGGGGAAACCCUGAUGCAGCGACGCCGCGUGGGCGAAGAAGUAUUUCGGUAUGUAAAGCCCUAUCAGCAGGGAAGAAGAAAUGACGGUACCUGAGUAAGAAGCACCGGCUAAAUACGUGCCAGCAGCCGCGGUAAUACGUAGGGGGCAAGCGUUAUCCGGAUUUACUGGGUGUAAAGGGAGCGUAGACGGCAUAGCAAGUCUGAAGUGAAAGCCCAAGGCUCAACCAUGGGACUGCUCUUGGAACUGCGCGGCUGGAGUGCAGGAGGGGCAGGCGGAAUUCCUGGUGUAGCGGUGAAAUGCGUAGAUAUUAGGAGGAACACCAGUGGCGAAGGCGGCCUGCUGGACGGUGUACUGACGCUGAGGCUCGAAAGCGUGGGGAGCAAACAGGAUUAGAUACCCCAGUAU
rnacentral:rRNA from 1 species